rnacentral:misc_RNA from 1 species
AACGCACGAGACCUGCGGACCUGCGGAGGGAUCAUUAUUGGAAUAACUGAGUGGCUCUAGCUCAAUACUGUUGCUGGUUCUUUAAUAGGGACAUGUGCACGUUGAACAGCUUGGAGCUUAACUCUUUUAUUACUACUUAUCCACCUGUGCACAUUCUGUAGUUGCCCUGGCUAGGCCGGCCCUCAAGUUGGCUUGGUUUCAAGGCUUCUAUGUCUCUACAAACUGUUAAUGUAUGUUUAG